UACUCCCGCCGGCGACCGGCGCACGGGUGAGUAACACGUAUGCAACCUGCCCCUGUCAGGGGGACAACCCGCCGAAAGGCGGGCUAAACCCGCGUACAUGCCACCGGGGCAUCCCGGAGGCAGGAAAGGCUUCGGCCGGACAGGGAUGGGCAUGCGGCGCAUUAGGCAGUAGGCGGGGUAACGGCCCACCUAACCGACGAUGCGUAGGGGUUCUGAGAGGAAGGUCCCCCACACUGGUACUGAGACACGGACCAGACUCCUACGGGAGGCAGCAG
rnacentral:rRNA from 1 species